rnacentral:lncRNA from 1 species
AGGGGGCCAACCUAGCAGCCCCUCGCCCAGCCCGUACGCAGCGUUGCACGGUGGUUACUCGGCGAGCCUGGGCGAUGAGGUGCACCUGUUCUUCAGCCGGCCCGCAGCCAACCCUCGGUCAACGCUCUCCGGGAGAAACCAAUCCUAGAGCAGCGCGGAGGGCGAGCGACCGGGCUCGCCUCGCUCCCGCCGCCCGCGGCUCUGCGCCGCUACUGCCGCCGCCACCGUGAGUCAAACUCCAGCAAGCUACCCCGCCGCUCAGGAGCGGGGUACCCCGGGGCGCACCCCGACCAGCACGCAGAGGAUACCAAACAGCUCCGGUGACGCUGCCUGGCCGACCCGGGCUAGCAAAAAUGGGAGAUAGCGACAGGGGUCCCGGACGUCGUGACCGCUGCUCCAAGCGUUUUCUUGCACUCAACCAGGCGGCUUCGGGUGUAUGUGUGUGUGUGUUUGUGUGUAGAGUCGCCGCGGACAGGGUGGGAUUCGGGCAGAGUUGCGCCUCCCACCAACACCUAAUGGUGCUGUCUUACUGUGUGCUAGAUAAAUAAAUGAUCCAAGCGGACCCCCGUUGGAGAAGUACGGCACUAGGAGCUCUGUGGAGCAGCCGUGAACAGGUCUCUGGUGUGGAUCCUGCGGGGUCAGACACUGAAGCUGCUGGGAGAAUGCGCACGGGCGUGUUAGGUGGGAGGGCGCCUCUGAGCUCCCCUGCCCCGCCGCGGUGCGGCUGGACAGAGAACCACCUUUGCUUUGGAGUUGCUGAGAGCUGCUGCUGAAGCAGACGACCUUUCUGUGAUCAGAUCUCGAAGCCAUUAACUUACCUUUUAAAAAGUAUUAUCUUUAAAUGUAGGUACGCCCUGGGAAACAAGGCGAGAGGCGAAGAUGAGAAAAGAUGCUGGCUAGUCUCUUAAAUUUCAUAGCCGGUUUCUUCCUUUUGGUAGAGGGAGAUCAGAGUAUUUCCAAUCUCGGGUACACUGUGGUACCUCCCUGAGGACCAGGUAUAGCACAGACAGGAAACGGGCAAGAGCCAGGGCUACCAUGAUAUACAUACGCUGGUCCUGUAAAGCGAUGCUUCCCACCCUACCCAGAUUUCUCGGCUAAGGUAGAAACGAAAGAGGCUUUUUUUUUUCAUUUAUUUAUUUUUUACAAGUGUCAUGCAAGGAUGGGAGAGUGAGAAUGGCAUCUUUCUUAUCACGUACCUCCCAGGGCUGUCCGAGAAUGCAGUCAGCAUUGUCCUGUCCUGUGAUGCACUCCACAAAGACGAAGUUUCCUAGGUAUCCAUUUUAUUCACACGUUAAGAGC